rnacentral:rRNA from 1 species
UGGGGAAUUUUGGACAAUGGGCGAAAGCCUGAUCCAGCAAUGCCGCGUGUGUGAAGAAGGCCUUCGGGUUGUAAAGCACUUUUGUCCGGAAAGAAAUCCUUGGCUCUAAUACAGUCGGGGGAUGACGGUACCGGAAGAAUAAGCACCGGCUAACUACGUGCCAGCAGCCGCGGUAAUACGUAGGGUGCAAGCGUUAAUCGGAAUUACUGGGCGUAAAGCGUGCGCAGGCGGUUUGCUAAGACCGAUGUGAAAUCCCCGGGCUCAACCUGGGAACUGCAUUGGUGACUGGCAGGCUAGAGUAUGGCAGAGGGGGGUAGAAUUCCACGUGUAGCAGUGAAAUGCGUAGAGAUGUGGAGGAAUACCGAUGGCGAAGGCAACCCCCUGGGCCAAUACUGACGCUCAUGCACGAAAGCGUGGGGGAGCAAACAGGAUUAGAUACCCUGGUAGUCCACGCCCUAAACGAUGUCAACUAGUUGUUGGGGAUUCAUUUCCUUAGUAACGUAGCUAACGCGUGAAGUUGACCGCCUGGGGAGUACGGUCGCAAGAUUAAAACUCAAAUGAAUUGACGGGGUCAUAGCUGUUU